AACAAGUGUAAAUGAUCUCAUUUGGUGCACUGUUCACACAAGACCAUUCCGUAUUGUGGCAACUGGUGAAGUUGAUCCUAACACCAAACGCGACGUUAAGCAACACAACGAGAACUAUGAAUAGCCUCCAGCCAGACAUUCCCCGCCGCCGCUGAACAGAAGCGAAGUGAAAGCGCCCAGCGAGCCGGCGAGCAAAGACACGUUGCUUGCUAGAGGUGCCCAUAUACCGCUCGCGAUCGCGCUCAACGUACCCAGGUGCUUGAGUGAAAUCGCUGACAAGGUUAUCCCAAGAGUCUUGUACAGCGGUGCCGUCAACUUGUGGGCCAACAGUUGCUGCGAAGUGGCCCGAAACCCAACUCUGGUAAACUCGGUCCCAGAUUUCUA